ACACACACACACACACACACACACACACACACACACACACUGUAAGAGACACACCAUCAUGUUGGAGUGCAGUCAGUGAGUUGAAACCUCUAAUGAGAGCCGUUUGUUGAAAUGACAGUUUCAGCUAAACGGCAGUGCCGACAUUUUAACACAUUAAAAUAAAUGAGGGGGAAGAAGGAAAAUAAUUUAUAGCAAUUCCAUAAUAGCUAAUGAACCCACAUUAAUCAAAGGAGAAGGUGAAGGGCUGCUUGAGCCACAGCAACAGAGAUUUGUUUACAUAAAACAAACUACUUGGGAAAGCAAAGUAAGCAGAAUAUGUAAAGAAGGCACUGGAAACAUCUUUAAACAUUGAUUUUGCUUAAGUGCAACAUUUGCUAAAAAGGUCCCAACAAUCGACAAGAGAGCUGGAGACAGAAACUGUGCUUGUUGUUAUUAAGUGUUUUAUAGAUUUUUAGUAAAUAAAGAAAGUACAAAGCUCAGACGCUACAUUAAAAAAAUACAUUUUUCUUUAUCACAAUUUAAAUAAAGUUAGUGGUUGUAAAUAUAUUAUCUCUUUUUUGUAUGUUUCUGUAAAAAUCCUGACAGGGGACAUCCAGACUUUCUGCUCCUUAUGCAGAUAGUUUAGAACAUAAUCUACAACAAUUAUAAACCAUUAAAAGUGAGCUCUUUUCUGCUCUUCAGAAAUUAUUUAGCUUCAUACAAAAAUAUCAAUCUUACGUAAACUUGUACUACUACAGUAUAUAAUAUGAAAUUUUUUUUUAAUCUCUUUUACAAUAAAUCCACCAAUGGCAGAAAACAAAAACACAGCCUGAGAUAUUCGAACUCAAAAAUAAACCUAGAGCUGAGUUUUCUGCACAAGAACUUCUGAAGCUCUACAAAAUAUUUUAAAAGCUAACUUGUAUCUGCACUCUGCUAAUAAAACCUUUGGGAUGUACAGCAGGUGUUAACUCUCUGUUACCAAGUCUACAUUUUAAAAGUAGUGCUAAAACAGAGAAUUCCUCUUCUUGAGGUUUUCAAAUGAAGUAGCUCAGCAUCCAAAAGUGGAUUCCCAUCAUGGAGGAACUUUGAGCAGCAUUACUGUGUUUGCACCACUUCAAGGCAAUCCAUCUGAUAAACACAACGAACCAAUAACUCAGUCAGGAACCAGCAGGAUGACAGAUUACCAUGCCUAAAGCCUUGACASUUGAAAGACUAAUAAAAAACAUAACAUGAUCAUCUCAAAGUAUUGUAACACGAAGAUUUUGACACCAACCAUAACAGAGCUUGUGUGUUUUGUGCUUUUAUGAACGCUGCAGGAGUCUUACAUUACAAUGAAUUAACAGUUUUCUAAUGAACCUGCACCUCCCCCCCCCACACCCCCCCCACACCCUUUCUGGGUUUUCAUACUCUGGAGGGGGUGCAGGAAAAUAACAGGUUCUUUGAAGCAUUAACUUAUGAGUUACAGAGUAACCAACAGGGAGGGCUGCCAUAGAAACCAAGAUCCUUAUAAUGACAGAGCCAAGCAUUAAUGUGAGGAAUGUGCGUGCAAACCUUUGUUUUAAACCCACAACCCAAAGUGUUACUUGCUAUUUUACUUUACAGCAGGCGACAGCGCUUUAGGACAAACAUUAAGACUAAAAGAAGAGAGUUUGUUUGGAAGCAGCAGUAUCAGAUUAGGUAAAAGUUUUUUUUUUUCAAUUUGUCCCACCGAUUAUAAAGAUAGGGUCAAAAAUAAAAACAAACAGUCAACAUUUAAGCUCUUGUGACACAAUACAACCUACAAAUGUCAAUUUGAGAAGAUGACACUGUAAAAGGUGGAAAACUCCACUUUCACACUUCAAUAACAUUUUGGAAAGACAGAAAAAAGCAAUGGGUUCCAAUGAGUCCAGACCCAGAGUGCGUAAAAUAACUCCCUGUUCUGGUGUUCACGAAAAACGAGAGUGGACUGCAACACUUUCUGUGGAGCUGCCAGCAGGAUCUUUGGGCCAAAAGAGGACUAUUUUACCCCCACUAAAACAAGACAAAACUAAUUUAUCACUUUCAGGGCAGGGACUGAUGGGGAUGUCCACCUGUUUUUACAACAGGCCAGCUGGUCAGCAGCGGAGUGAUACAGGUUAGGUCACUGGAGGCCCAUCAUCAUCAUCAUCAUCAUCAUUCAUCAGUAUUGGAGAUCUGAACGCAGAAAAGAKCCAGAGGACAAAACUUCCUCAGAGACAAACAUCUUCUGGGACAAAGUCAAGAAGCAAAGUCUGCACCCCAAGUCCUGGAAUCAACAUCUUUUCUUCUUUUUUUAAGAAAGAAGUUUAGUCCAAUAUACAACUUCAGUACAGUUCUGAUUACAUAAAAAAUGUAUAAAGAACUAUUUAUCAAAUUUUGACAACAUUUUACUGGUGGCUGAACAUAAAGMAUGAUGGAUAAGAGAGAUUUGGAGCCUAAAACUGAGUUAAAGUGCUUUUUGUGUUUAAAAACCUGGAUCAGAAUAACAACCUCAAUCUAAUUAGUGUAGCUUAAAYCUUCUUGAUGAUAAACUUGCAAGAAGUUUAGAAAAACUGAUGUUUUGUUAAUAAUCUUGCCAUCUAUAGAGACUAUUUUCCAAAGAUUUAUGAUUCUAAAAUGUUUAGAAACCUGAAUGAAUUUGUAACAAACCAAAGGACAAAACACGAUGUUUGUUUUACAAUGAAUGUUUGCUUUUUUAAAUUAGAUUAAAGCAACAUGACUCAGAAAAGUUGAGACGAGGUUAUGAUUACUUUGCAGCACUUUCAAUCUCAGUCUGCUCUUUCUUUAUUACUACCAAUCAUCAUUUGCCACAAAAACAGCUCUGAUGAGUCAGGGCUUGGACAAAAACCAGCUGGCAGUGUCUGGGAUUGUUUGGAACCAGAUUCCUUGGACUGCGUGGACUGGACUGCAGCAUAUUUUUGAUGCCAUCAGAUCCUAAGAGUAUGGUACCCAGGAGGUUUGGAGACUGCAGUGAACACCUCAGACUCUGUAAUGUGAUUUAAACUCUGCUGAGCUGUUUUUUUCUCAGGACAGAAGUUGGUCAGAAACGUUUAGAUGAAGACAAAGUAUUACAUUUAUGCUUUGAAGCACGUUUUUUUCAUGGAGAGCAUUUUAGGUUAAGUUCAACACUGUAUAAUAAAAGCAUCGUAUUUUUUUUCUGAACAUAUCCCUCUGCUUUGUUUUGUUCCCUGAGUUUAUGGCGCCCUCUACUGGAGACAGGGGUGUUAUUUAAACUACAACUUCAAUCCCAUGAUGACAAAUCUUUAGAAAUAAACUUUAUCCAAACAUUUAUCAUGAAAGUUGAGGAUCUGUUAUGGAAAUUUAGUUGAUGGUAUAAAGCUGAAGAUUUUUUUUCUGGAUGUUCUGUCUUUUGAAAAAAAGCAAAAAAUCUCUAACAAUAAUUAGAUGGAAAACAGAAAACUCUUAAUUGUUUAAGGUCUCUCUCUUGAGGCCAACUCUUAACAAAAUUAAAGAGAAGGAUAGGAAACUGACUCCUGGGGCCACAAUGGAAACAAAAGCCCGGUCCUCUUGCACAGCAUGUUAGACGAAACAGUGACAAAAUCCCAUCACACAGCUGGAGAACUUCAAACAGAAAAGAUAAUCUGGAUGUGGCAAGGAAGAACUUCCUUCAAAAAAAGCAUUAAAUUGCAUUAAAGAAAUCAAAACAAUUGCAUGUGAACUUUUAUUAUCUGCCACUGGAUGUCAUUAUUGGGCAAACAUUCACAAUAAAGUUGAUAACAAAAGCCUUGAACUCACUAUUACAUGCACUUUUAUAAAGAAAAAUCCACAGUGCUGCUUUGCUUUCACAGUUUUGUUUGGACCACUUUAUUUUUAUUAUGAUCAUUAGUGAAAUCAAGUGAUUUUUUUAAGAAAACCGUAAAGAAAUGAAUGAUUAUGAAAACAAUACAAUUAACUGCACAAAGGUUUGGAUUGAAGGCACUGGGGCAGAGAAACUCUUUCAAAUGAUCUACUUAAAAAGCUAUCGAAUCAACAAAGCAAAGUCAGCCAGUAAGACUUGACUUGAGGAGCCAGACUGACCACAUAUAGCAACACCCAGGAGAUCUAGGCCGGCCCAACUCUUUAAAAAAAAACAUCUCCUUUUCCAGUUCGCUAGCCCCACACACUGGACCUUAAAGCCAAAUUAUUGCGGAGGUCGGGGGAGACUCAUGAGGUCUUGGUGUCUGCCGCUCCAUACUGCUACAUAAAAAGAAGGUGAAUGAUUCCGUGUGAGCAAUUGGUUCCAAUUGACAGAGGAUUGGUCAUGGUCAGCCUUCUGAGUGGAAAUCCACGUGAGAAUGUAGCAUUUGGACCAGCAAGGGGCACAAGAGGCCAACGGCAGACAAUGAGGCCACUCAGAGGAGACUGGCUGCUGUGGAAAUGUGGAGCCCAAUCUCCUUUGAUUUAACCCGACUUCAGCUAGCUAUUUAUUCUGCUUAAUAAACCGAGAUGUGUAGUAAAAUAGCAUGACUGGGUUAACUCUGAUAACAUACCCACAAUAAACAGACAUCACCUGAAACAUUCACUUUUGAGGGGUUUUUGUUCCUCCGCUCGGCAUCAAAUUGUGUCGAAUCAAGUGAGGGCAAAUCAGAUUCAGCACAUUCUAACAUUACAUGACUGAAAGUACCUCUUCAACCUCAAACAGGAACUCAACCAUGACUAUUCUUGUGACUUUUUCACCAAUUAGGCAGGUCCUGUUCACUGAAAGGGACCAGCUGCUUUUAAGUCUCUGAGGGCCAAAGGGUUAGUGCUCAAUCAGUCUGCUUGGAGAGGUUGUGUGUUUGAAACCGCCACUAGUUGACAGGCCAAAGAUACGGGUGGUGGGGGAGUUUGGUGAGGGGAAGGAGUCCUGCCAGUAAAAAAAAAAAAAAAAAAAAAAAAAAA